ACUUACUCCUCAGUGUCCUUUCAGGGGGUCCUGCUCAGGCAGCCGGGUGGUCUGUCCCAGGUGGCCCCUGGGGAGAGCAGGACCAGGGCAGUACCCGGGAGUGGCAGGGAAUGAUAUGCCCUCUCCCUGAACUGGAGGAUGGGGGGCUUGUCCCUUGGGGGAAGCAGGAGUGGGAGGCGCCCAGGCCUGUGCUUUAGGGGCACAAGGCCCUGCCCUGACCCUGGAUGCCCUUCUUUGGCUUCAGCAUCUUUCCCCAUGGCCUUGUGUGUCCCUGGUCCAGGGCGGGUGAGGGAAAAGGCUGAACCGUCAGAGGGUGAGAAGAACCUUGUUCAGGACGAGAAGAAUCAGAUGAUGACAACGAAUGUGUGGGUGAAGCAAGUGAG
rnacentral:lncRNA from 1 species